rnacentral:lncRNA from 1 species
AAAAACACAUCACACAAAUUGGGGAGAGGUUAAAAAAAUAUAAUGUGAAUAUUUAGGCUCGUGUUUAAUACAAGGAGUUGAAGGAAAUUAAUCAUGACUAAUUCAUCUACUUAUUAAUAAUACAAUUUUAGUGUAUUUUUACCCAUAAAUUUAUGAACCGUAUCGAAAGCGGUUCACAUGAAUCCGGUUUCACACACUGACCCGCCUCUGGACUAAUGCUAAUAAUAUAUUAAUAUCCAUAGUUUCAGCAGCCAACCCAUCGUUGUUGUACUUCUUGAUAGUUGAAGCUUAUAAGAGCAGAGUCCUUGUCCUUGAUUUUUUUUUUUUUUGCCAAAUUGCUAGUCUUCUUUCAUAUGUUAGCGCCAAUGACUGAUCUUGUCACCUUUGGAGGUUUGGAAUAUUGUUGACCUUGACAAUUACUCCUGAACAUGGAGUCAACAUAACGUUAAUUAAGAUUAAAACUGAGGCGAUGUGGUUAUUAACUGGUUCCUAAAUCAAUUCUUGCCACAAAUGAGAAAGGAGAAAACCAAUUACAGUAGAAUUCCAGGACAAGUAUAAUAAGUAAUACCAUCUGCAUAACAGUAUUAAGUGCGUGUUAGGAUUGAGCAGAGACAGUAACACGGCAGUGGCGUGUCA